GACAGUUGAUGAUGGAUUCUCCAAGGGAACUCCCAGGGUUCUCAACUGUAGAGCCUCAUGGGACAUGGGAACGGGAAACACUCAACUAAAAACUUUAAAACAUACUUGUUAAAGGAGUAAAGAUACCUGAAUGGGUCUUACUAAGCCAACAAAAAGUUUAAAUUCAUGCAGUCUAAUAAAUUUCCAGCUGUAAUUUAAUGAGAUAAAAUCAAAACUUUUCUACUGAAAUUAGUAGGAUAGUUAUUCAGAAUAUUAUUGCAUAAUAUGUUUACAAAUUUUUGGUUCAUGCCAUUGACUUAUCUUUAGACAGAAUAAAAAUGUAUAUAUAUUUUUGAAAAUUGAUUUCAUAUUUCCCAUUUGUACAUCCAUGGUCUUUAUAAUCUAUUUUGUAAAUCUUUGUAAUUUUCUUAACUAAAUGUCAUAACUUUUUUCCUCUGAAAAAAUGAUGUCACAAUUUUUCAAUUCCUAAUCAAAAGAGUCCAGAAUAGGCCUAUGGAAAUUUGAGUCUUUAAAGAGAUACUCCAAGACAGGUUUGCGUAAAACUUUUUGCAAUAUUUUAUAAAUGUCGAUCGUGAAAUGACAGCAUUUCCAUUAACCAAUGAUAUGCAACUAAAAUAAUUUUUCCUCUCAUGAUAAGUAAUGCUGACAGAUGUUGGUGUAUAUAUACUUUGAGAGCAGCCUCGUGUGAGGUGUUUAUUGGAGGUUAUUGUAUAUUAAAGAAUGAUCAUGUGACUUUUGUGUACACCAGGUGACCUGUAAGUGCAAAAAAUAAAAUAAACUUGUUUACAUUGUAGUUUUGCGAAAUUACUUUUCCGAAUUGCCUAAAAAACAACCUCAUGCGAGCGUAAAAACUUUUUUUGUGAUAUACCAUAGUGUUUGCAAAAGUGACGUGUUUCCAUUGGCCAUAUUUUCAGGAAAUACACGCUAGGUGAUGGUGGAAAAAAAUAUUUUAAAAGUUAAUGGGCCAGAUUUAGUAAACAGGGCAAAUUAGCGUUAGAGCACAAUUCCAUAAAAAUGCUGAUGGGAGGAGAAAAUUCUGCGAGUGAUUUACUGACAAUGUGCAUAUUAAAGAUCAGACGCAGCCAGAUCAUUUCCAUAAUGACCAGCACUAUCUACCAAGAGCUGCACAAAUUACCGCCUGCUUUAAGACUUGCUUUUUUUGGGCGUGAAAUAAUGACGCAAAUACCAGUAAUAUGACGAGCUCAAACGUUGUGUUGCAUGAUUAGUAAAUCCUGAUAGUAGCAAGAUGUUAGUAAAUCUGGACCUUAAACUAUAAAUCAUUGCUUCCAGCCAGCAGGCCAGCAAUGUUUUUUAAGUUUAUUAGGUUUAAAACUUUCAUUGAGGGACUGUCAGUGUUGAGGGUCAUAUGCACUUGCAUUAUAUAGACACAGA
ensembl:lncRNA